rnacentral:lncRNA from 1 species
AUGGCCUGUAUAAGGCCCUUGUUAGUCAUCAGAGAGAGAGCACGUAAGAGAGCACUGAGGAGAGAGGCAGAGGGAGAUGGGGAGAUGGAGAGAGAAAAUCUCAAGCAGACACUCCCCCAUCCCCACCUUUGCUGAGCAGGGAACCCAGA